GACGAACGCUGGCGGCGUGCCUAAUACAUGCAAGUAGAACGCACAGUUUAUACCGUAGCUUGCUACACCAUAGACUGUGAGUUGCGAACGGGUGAGUAACGCGUAGGUAACCUGCCUGGUAGCGGGGGGUAACUAUUGGAAACGAUAGCUAAUACCGCAUAAUAUUGAUUAUUGCAUGAUAAUUGAUUGAAAGAUGCUAUUGCAUCACUACCAGAUGGACCUGCGUUGUAUUAGCUAGUAGGUGAGGUAACGGCUCACCUAGGCGACGAUACAUAGCCGACCUGAGAGGGUGAUCGGCCACACUGGGACUGAGACACGGCCCAGACUCCUACGGGAGGCAGCAGUAGGGAAUCUUCGGCAAUGGACGAAAGUCUGACCGAGCAACGCCGCGUGAGUGAAGAAGGUUUUCGGAUCGUAAAGCUCUGUUGUAAGAGAAGAACGGAUGUGAGAGUGGAAAGUUCACACUGUGACGGUAUCUUACCAGAAAGGGACGGCUAACUACGUG
rnacentral:rRNA from 1 species